rnacentral:lncRNA from 1 species
UGUCAUCCACCUAUGUGGGAGAAAAAACAAUUAAGGGUAUUUUUGAAAUUUUAAAAUUAAAGAUAAGGUGAGGUGGAAGAUAAUGUAGGGGGAAAUUGUACAAUGUAGUACAAUUUGAAAUUAUUUUUUUGUGGAAUUAGGUAGAAGUUAUGAGAGUUUUUGAGAAUUUUGGGGUUAGUUAAAAUAUAACCCCAAUUGGGAUUUAAAAUUUAGCCAUAUUUAUUUAAUUUUGACCAAUUAGAAAUCAAUUGACGGAUUGCAUUACAAUUAUGGCCAAUUUGAUUUCAAUUAUGGCCAAAUCUAAUAGAUUGACUAAAUUAAAUUAAAAUUCGAUGAAAAUUAAUGCUUCCUUUAAUCUCGGGCUUCUUGAUUUUAUAAAAUCAAACACAUAUUUAUCUGAAUAAAUUAUUUUUUGAGAGUAAAUUAUAUUUAAAUCAAAACUUUAAUCAUUUGAAUCUCUGAGCCUUAAUUAAAAUCUAAUAUUUUAUAAAAUUAAUAUUUAAGUGACAAAAUUAUAAAAUCUCGUAUAAUUGAAUACGAUAAAUUAUAAUCACUACUUAAAAUGACAAAAUUACGUACAAAUAUAUUUAAUAAAUUUUUAUUCGGAUGAAAUAAAUAUUUUAAUUUUAUUAAAAAUUAACAAAACUCAAGAUUAAAUUUAGUCGUGGAGGGCAAAAAUUAGGUGUCAACAUACUCAAUUAGCCAGGUAUGCCCCUCAUGUGGUUACAGACAGUAGAUCCAAAAUGAGUAAGUUCGCUUCAGGGGUGAACGACAGCGUGGUUAAUGAAUGCAGAUCCGCCAUGCUGAACAGUGAUAUGACCUUAGCUAGACUUAUGACCCAUGCUCAGCAGAUAGAAGAGCAGAAAAUUAAGCAGAAGGAAAAGCAGAAUAAGAGAGUGAAGACAGGUAGUUUCAACUUCGCUCAGCCUAAAUCAGAAGGAGAAAACCGUUCUCAAUUUCAUCCUAACUCAUCAGUUCCAGGUCCCUCUACAGCUAGUGCUCCAGUUCCUAAGUUCAAAGAGGGUAACAAAGAUAAAACGUCAGGCUAUAAGACCCAGGGCAGUGUUAGUAGUGCCCGCUUUUAUCCUCUUUGCCAGACUUGUGGUAAGCACCAUCAGGGUGUUUGUAGAGUGGGUAGUGGCAUUUGUUUCAAUUGUGGCAAGCCAGGCCACAGAGUUAGAGACUGUCCUCAGCCAGGUCCUCAAGGUCAACAGAAUCGCUCUUCAGCUUAGUCCGGUCACCCAAAUUAGCAGGGUGCCACUUCUAGUGCUACUAAUGGUCAACACCCAAAUUGUCUCUAUGCUCUUCAGACCCAAGAGGAUCAGGAAAAUUCUCCUGAUGUAGUUACUGGUAUGUUAUAGAUCUUUCAUGUGCAUGUUUAUGCUUUGAUAGAUCCAGGAGCUUCCUUGUCUUUUGUUACUCCUUAUAUAGCAGUUGAUUUUGGAUCAGUCCCAAAAUUCUAGCAGAGCCCUUCUCAGUUUCUACCCCAGUGGGUAAAACUAUCAUAGCCCACGGGUAUACAGGAACUGUCUGGUUAUGAUAUUUCAGAAAGUUACUUCAGCAGACUUAGUCGAAUUAGAGAUGACUGAUUUUGAUGUCAUUCUCGAAAUGGCUUGACUUCAUUCCUUCUAUGCCACAGUCGACUACAGAAAUAGAAUAGUUCAGUUUCAGUUCCUGAAUGAACCCGUCAUAGAGUGGAAGGGUAGCGUAUCCGCUUUCAGGGGUCAGCUUAUUUUCUACCUUCGAGCAAGGAAAAUGAUAUCUAAAGGAUGUGUUUAUCAUUUAGUUCAUGUUAGAGAUUCCAAUUCUGAGGCUCCUAGUCUUGAAUCAAUCCUAGUAGUGAAUGAAUAUUCAGAUGUCUUUCCCGAAGAUCUUCCAAGAAUUCCUCCCGAAAGGGAAAUAGACUUCGAUAUUGAUCUUCUUUCAGACAGUUAGCCUAUUUCUAUUUCUCCAUACAGAAUAGCACUAGCAGAACUCAGAGAACUGAAAGAUCAGUUGAAGGAUCUCUUAGAUAAGGGAUUCAUCAGGCCUAGCAUUUCUCCGUGGGGCGUACUAGUCUUAUUCGUAUGCAAGAAAGACAGUUCACUUAGAAUGUGCAUAGAUUACUGUCAACUCAAUAAAGUCAAGGUUAAGAACAAGUAUCCUCUUCCUAGAAUCGAUGACUUGUUUGACCAACUUCAGGGUGCCAGUUAUUUCUCUAAGAUAGACCUUAGAUCCGGCUAUCAUCAGCUUAGAGUUAGAGAAUGUGGCAUCCCGAAUAUAGCUUUCUGUACGCGGCAUGGUUACUUCAAAUUUCUAGUCAUGUCAUUUGGUCUUACCAAUGCCCCAGCCGCUUUCAUGGACUUGAUGAACCGUGUGUUCAAGCAGUACUUGGACAUGUUCAUCAUAGUCUUCAUAGAUGAUAUUCUGGUCUAUUCCCGCACUGAGCGAGAUCAUGCAGACCAUCUUAGAAUAGCACUUCAGACUCUCAGAGAUCAUCAGUUAUUUGCCAAAUUCAGUAAGUGCGAAUUUUGUCUAAGGUCAGUAGUAUUCCUUGGUCAUAUUAUUUCUGGUGAUGGCAUUAGAGUAGAUCCUCAAAAUAUCGAAGCAGUAAGAAAUUGGCCUCACCCUGUUUCUCCAUUAGAUAUUUGGAGUUUCUUGGGUUUGGAUGGCUAUUACAGAUGGUUUGUUAAGGGAUUUUCUUCUAUUGCAUCUCCUAUGUCCAGAUUGACUCAGAAGAAGGUCAAGUUCCAGUGGUCAGAUCCAUACGAGAAGAGUUUUCAGGAAUUAAAGACUCGACUCACCUCGGCUCCAUUUCUAGCUCUUCCAGAUGGUUCAGACAGUUUUGUAGUUUAUUGUGAUGCAUCUAGAGUGGGUUUAGGUUGUGUCCUCAUGCAGCAUGGUAAGGUCAUAGCCUACACCUCCAGAUAGAUUAAACCCCAUAAGAGGAAUUAUCCUACUCAUGAUCUUGAAUUAGCAGCCGUAUUUUUUGCUUUAAAGAUUUGGGGGCAUUAUCUCUAUGGAGUUCAUGUAGACGUCUUUAUAGAUCAUAAGAGCCUUCAGUAUGUAUUUUCUUAAAAAUAUCUUAAUCUUCGUUAGAGAUGGUGGUUAGAGCUAUUAAAAGAUUAUGACAUGAGUGUCCUCUAUCAUCUCGGCAAGGCCAAUGUAGUGGCCGGCGCUCUCAGUAGACUGUCCAUGGGUAAUAUUUCUCAUGUUGAUGAUAGUAAGAAUAAAUUAGUCCAGGAAUUCCACUAGUUUACCAGACUAGGCGUUUUCUUAGUUGACUCUUCAGAGGGUGGUGUAUGUAUUCGGAGUAGUUCAGAAUCAUCUCUAGUUUCCGAGGUGAAAGAAAAUCAAGAUAAGGAUCCUAGCCUUGUCAAGCUAAAAGAGUUAGUUCAGAAUCAGAAAAUAGAGGUUUUCUCCCAAAGGGGAGAUAGCUUUCUCUGUUGUCAAGGUCGUCUAUGUGUUCCAGGUGUAGAUGAUAUAAGACAGUAAAUUCUUGUAGAAGCGCAUGGUGCGCGUUACUCUAUUCAUCCAGGGGCCACUAAGAUGUACCGCGACUUGCGAGAAAUCUAUUAGUGGAGUGGGAUGAAAAGAGAUGUUGUAGAGUUUGUGGCUAAGUGCUCUACAUGUCAGCAAGUUAAGAUAGAGCAUCAGAAACCUAGUGGUCCUAUGCAGGAGUUUAGUAUUCCUACUUGAAAGUGGGAAGUUGUGAACAUGGACUUCGUGAUGGGUUUGCCUUGAACUCAUCGUCAACAUAAUUCAGUCUGGGUCAUUAUAGACAGAAUGACCAAAUCAGCUCUUUUCUUUCCAGUUUAUACCUCUUAUUCAGCCGAGGAUUAUGCCAAGAUCUACAUUAAGGAGCUGGUCAGAUUGCACGAUGUCUUAUUGACUAUUAUCUCAGACAGAGGUACCCAGUUUACCUCUCAUUUUUGGAAAGUAUUCCAAAAGGGUCUUGGUACCCAAGUUCAUCUCAGUACAGCCUUUCAUCCUCAGACAGAUGGUCAACCAGAAAGGACCAUUCAGACUUUAGAAGAUAUGCUAAGGGCGUGUGUAAUUAAUUUUAAUGGGAGUUGGGAUGACCACUUGCUUUUGAUUGAGUUUGCAUACAACAACAGCUAUCAUUCCAGUAUUCAGAUGGCUCCAUUCGAAGCUCUCUAUGGUAGGAGAUGUAGAUCUCCAAUUGGUUGGUUCGAAGUUAGUGAGGCCGCAGUCAUAGGUCCUGACUUAGUAUUCGAUGCCUUCGAGAAAGUUUAGUUAAUUAGAGAAAUACUCUAGGCUGCUCAGAGCCGACAAAAAUCUUAUGCAGAUGAUGUUCAUAGAAAGGAUCUCGAGUUUAAGAUUGGUGACUAUGUCUACCUCAAGAUCUCUUCUAUGAAGGAAGUAAAGAAAUUCGGCAAGGUAUCUUAUGAGCUCGAAUUGCCUUCAAAUCUAGCCUCAGCUCAUCCAGUCUUUCAUGUCUCUUUGAUCAAGAAGUGUAUAGGUGACCCAUCAGUCGUAGUCCCUAUUCAGAGCAUAGAUGUUCAGAACAACCUCUUUUAUAAUGAGAUUCUAGUCGAAAUCCUAGACUAUCAUACUCGUAGAUUGAGGAACAAAGAAGUCCUUAUAGCUAAAGUUCUUUAGAGAAAUUAGUCCGUCAAGGGAGCUACUUGGGAAGCAGAAACAGAUAUGCAUACCAAGUACCGUUACCACUUCCCCGCCAACUCAGAUCAAGCUCAAGGUAAUAGUUCUCCUUAAGCUUACUCAGUUGCAUGAUUAGUGUACAUCACUAACUUAGUAUUCAGUCUCAUAUUCAUGUUCCCAUGAUAAACUUGGUAUCAAGUACCACCGCAUAUUCAGUCAUGCAUUCAUGUAUCAGAUCAGUUAUAUAUUUAUGCAUCAGACAUGCAUUCUCAUUGUGAGAAAACUUAGUUCUUCAAAACUUUUAGUUAUGCAUUUAUGAAUCAAUUACGCAUGUUCAGUAUGUUAUGUUUAGCUUAUCAGUCACGUCCAUCAUGAUAUCAUGUUCCAUUUAUUUAUAUUCAGCUCAUUAUUUCCCCUUUCAAUCAGUCUCAUUUGAGGACGAAUGUUCUCAAGGAGGAGAUAUUGUAAUACCCGUGUUUUUUCUUAGCUUGAAAAUUAUCUCAAAGAUGUUAGAACUUUCUUUGAAAUAAGAAUUCAUUAUUAUACACGCGGUAUUUCUAUAAUUUUCAUUUCCUAUCACGUGGGAAAUAGAAUAAGCUUUUCAUCGAUAUAUAAUUCGCCCAAAUCCGACAUCCGGGCGAAGAGUUAGAGCCUUUUUAGUGAGACAAUGUUUGAUCUGAGCUUUCAGCGCAUCGCGGAGAUAGCUCAAAUGGAAAUUGUCAAAUUCUAGUGUUGCUCCAUAAUACUAGCCCGUCGCACCAAACUUCCAGGUCAUAGACAAGGUGGCAAUAUGAUAGCUCCGUGUCGCACCACCGUGCAGUUUCUCAAUUAUCAAUUUCCAGUGAUACGGCGCAAUAGCGCCGCAUCGCGCCAAGGGCCCAACUCGGGAAAUUUUACUAAAAAUUUAAUGAUGUGUCCAAGAUUAAAAGGGUCAACUUCCUACCCCUAUAUAAUCCCUUUAGCACGUGAUUCAGCCACUUUUCACCCAAAACAUAUUAGUUUUUCUCAAGUUUAUCUUAAGAACAAUCUAGGGUUUCUAUUGGGGAUUCAAAUUCAGGAAGGUUUCAUCAUCAAUCUUCAUGAAAUCAUGAUCUAAGGUAUGCAUAGUAUUUAUUCAUGGACUCCUUUCCUCCAUGAAGUCCAAGAAUCCUUUUUAACUGCAAGUUAUGGAUUUUCUUCAUGUUUUUAUGCUUUGUAUGUUCUCUUUCAUGUUGAUAAAUGAGGAAUUGAUUUCUAUUCCAUGAUUUGAUGAUAAAUUUCAUGUGGGUUGAUUAGUAUAGAUAAAGAUUUAUGAAAUCUCAUGACUAAAAUCCUUGUAUGAUGGAAUUGGAAUUGAAGCAUGAUGUUUAAUUGUUGUAUGAUGUGCUUUACAUGUACUAUGCCUACAAUAUAUUUGAUCAAAUGCCUAGAUAAAGGAAUAUUGUCUAACUAGCAUGACAUCAUGAAAUCCCCAUGUAUGUACAAGUUCAUGCUUAUUACAUGUUUGAUGAAAUGAUCCCAUGAAUGUAGUAUGUAUUAUGAUGUUAGUCAAGUCUUCAAGUAAAUCAUGCUAUGUCAGUUUUCUUCUAUCGAGUUGUAGGGGUACUUGUACCCGAAAUGUUAGCUGUGUGCCUAGGGUCAUGUCAUAUUUUUCACGAUACUCUCAGUCAAGUUAUGAACUCUUAGACUUCAUAUGGUCUUAUGACUCAGGAAAAAUCUCCAUGAUCUCAUGACUCAGUCAGUUGUCAGAUAUCAGUAGUAUUUCCGUCAGCCACUGAAAUUCAGUAACUCAGUCCAUGCUCAGUUCAGUUCAGUAAAUCAUGUUCAGCGUCUAUUCAGAUGGGAGUAGGAAUUAGCACCGAGUGAACCUAAGGAUGAGAACUCACCUGUUAUAUGAGGGUGUGAUUCUUAGAAGUAAUCCUUGCGUUCCAAAACUAUGUAGCCAGCAUAGGUUGAGACAUCGUAGCCUGCUAUAUGAGGGUAGAUGAAGUGGCUUAACCUGUUAUGUGAGGCUUCCCACCAUUCUCUCUAGAGUUACUUGUUAUAUGAGGGUUACUCACAUAUUGUCCUUACCAGUGGUGCGGUAUUGACACCCUUCCAAUCAGGGCAUAGAUUGAAACCCAGCUCAGCUAUUAUAGCACCUAGAUUGAAACCCAGCUCAGCUAUUAUAGCACCUUUGGGGCAUGUCAGUUAGAUACUACUUCCCACAGUUUUAUGUUACAGAAUUAGGACUGUCAGAUAUAGUCACUCAGUCUCAGUAAUAGAACUUAGAUAGUUUUUCAGAUUUUAGGAUUGUCAGAUACAGUCAACUUAGAUACAGUACGGAACUCAGAUAGUUCCAUCAGAUUCAGGACUGUUAGCUACAGUCACCCACAUUAUUAAUUAUACUCAGAUACAGUCAUUCAUGUUAUCAGUCAUGUCAUGUUAUCAGUAUUCAGAUUCAGUAAUCACGAUUCACAUUGUCAGUUACAGUUACAUAAUUAUGUAUGCAUUCUCACAUUCAUGUUAGACAGUCAGCUAGCAUUAGUAUGUAUGUGAACCCUAGCAUUUAGCCUACCUCACAUGUAUACUUGGUACAUAUGUACUGACGCAUUUGUGCUAUGGUGCUUUCUUUUAUGUUACACCAUAGGUUCAGAAACACGAGUUCUAGAUCAGCAGUAGAUUUCAGAUUCAGCAGUCAAACUAGAAGUGAGUCCUCAUCCUCCGAGGACAUAAUGAUUUUCUAGUAUCUUAUUGAUUAGCUUAUUAGUUGGAGUUAGUUGGGGACGUAUCCAUCAACUCUUUAUUCAAAUUCUUCAGGCAGUAGAGGUUUUCAAACUAGAUGCAGACUAGAUACAGACUAGAUUCAGACUAGAUACAGACUAUCAUGUUUUAGACUUCAAUUUUGUUUUGGGUAUUCAUUACCCCACACAGAUGUUACGUUAUUCAGUUAUGUUCAUGAUCGAACCUUAUGGUCUUUCAGUGCAUGUUUUUGCAUUAUUAUAUUAUCUUAUGCAGUAUAUAGAUACAAAUAUCAGUCAUAGGUUAGCUUGUGGUCCUUCGGGGUCAUGAGCACCGUGUAGCAUUUCGAUUCAGCAAAUUGGGUCGUUAUACAAAUAUCUGCUAUAAUCAAAUAAAAACAGCCUGUUACUCUUCUGAGUAAAAAAGUUUAGAGUCCACCAUCUAUAAUUCAUUGUAUAUCUAUCACCAUUAAUUAUGGUGUCACUACUGAUAAUCCCUCUGUACCUGCUAUUGAAGAAUUGAAGAUUGACAGCACUGAAAGAAAAGAAACACCUGAGGAAGAUUCUGAAAAGUUGACCUGGGGUAACGAUGAUUUUGAUUAUGCUAGUGGUGAGGAUUAGGUCGUUGAUCCCAAUAAUCAUGUGCACCCUUAUAGUGCGACCCCUUUUUUACCGUUAGUAGAAAAAAAAGAAUCCCAGAGCAAUCACCAUUUAGUGUUCUAUUAUACUUUUAAAUGUCAAACAAACUUUAUGUGACUUAGGAUCAGGAGUAAAUAUGAUGCCACUGGUUGUGUAAAAGCUAUUGAGGAUGGGGAACUGAAACCUACAUCCAUAAAGCUGUUGAUUGCUGGCUCAUCUAUGAAGAAGUUGAUAGGUGUUUUGUGUGACGUAGAAGUAAGGGCUACAUCCUUUAUGUUCCCCACUAAUUACAUGGUUCUUGAUUGUGAGGUGAAUUCUCAAGCCCUCGUUAUAUUGGGUAGACCCUUCCUAUCUACUGUUAGGGUAUUGAUUGAUAUGGACUUGGGGGAGAUACCUUUAAACGAAAUGAUGAGCAAGUAGUGUUUGUUAUGUGUAUGACAGUGCAACAACCAGGUGAUAUGUGAGUAGUGUCUGUAGUAAACACUAUUGAUGAGAACGUUAUUGCAGAGGCCAGUAUACCAAAUGCACCAGGUGUUGAUGAGAGAAGUGUGGCAGAUCGAUUUACAGAGAUUGAGAUGUCAGAUUUAGGACAUAUGAAAAGGGAGGUAGAUAUCUUGCGAGUAGAGGUGUGCUCUCUGAAUGAGAGCCAUAUGUUAGCCAUCCUUCCAGUUGUAUCCCUAAUUAUUCAGCCAUCACCUUUGUGUGGUCCCAAACACUUUAAUUUAGUCACGUAGGAUGAUGUGCCGACCUCGUAGUUUGGACCAAGAGAAGUUGAGUGGGAGAAUUGUAGAAUCCAGACACGUCAUAUGAGCAAGCCCUAAAAAAGGCCACCCAUGAUUUGACGGAGACUGCAUUUGUUGAUAGGCAGAGGCAUACCGGGCUAGCUGCGGGUGCAUCUUCUCAUAGUGCAAAACCAUCACCAUGGCCUCCGUCUAUGGAUAUGCCCCCAUCUAGAUAAGAUCAUGACAAGGAUGCUUAGUGUGUCCCAGGUAUGUUCUCACUUUCCUUUAUUUUAUUUUAGCGUAUCGAGGAUAGUGUGCAGUUUUUAGUCGGGUUGGGAUGUACCAUAACCGCCGCGGAUUUUUGUUGUCAUGCUUAUUUUUCUGUCGGCCGCGGUAUGGUUGUAGAACCGGUAUGUCUAGAAUAAGUUUGUGUCGUAUUGUAUUUUUUUCGUGUUGUGUUGCUUUUGUGUAAUUAGGAGAUUUCUAAGUAUUUAGAGCAGUAGUCAUGUUUUGAUUGAAUUUUAAUACCCCUUCAAAAUUUUGUGUUUUAGAACCGUGUGGAUGUGUAUAUAUGUGAACAUUAUGGAUCUUGUUAUGACAUUAGAAUUAGGGACAUGAUAACUAUUUGCUAACAAUUGCAUGAAUUGAAUAGGUAAUAGUUUGUGAUAUUUACUCUGUGUUAUGAGAGUGUGAGAUGCUACCUAGUUCCCUUUGUAUGUUAAAUUCAGAACUUGCCUGGUUAGUCUUGCUUAGGUUGAAAGAUAGUCGAUUAGGAAAGGAUCAUACGUUAUUCUUUAUUCUAGUCUACUUUUAGUCUAAAUGACCUUCUAUGUGUAAAUUGUAUCCCUUAAUUCCCAUUUUGAGCCUUAUAGCUUAUUUUUCUUGUUAUACCUUUCACCUUCCCAUUUAUAUUAUAAUGAACCUGUUUUGGCCCUGAUCCUUCUUGAACACUAUGCACCUUGACUCAGGCAAAAAGCCUAAGUUGAGGGUGGUUAUCAUAGGAGUGCGUAGUGUAAAAUGGUAUGAAGAAGGAUAAAUUAAGAGAAGAAGUUAGUAAGGCUGGGUGUGGUAGAAAAAGACAAGAAAAAGAAAAAGAGAAAAAUUGUGAAGAAGCAAACCCUGAAUGUACUUUAAAAGAAAAAGGGAGAAAUAAGGGUAGAGUAAGAAGGAAAUUGGCUAGUAAGUGAAACCCAAGGUUAGUGUAGUGCCAAGGAGGCUUAGUCACUUUAAAUAUUCAUAUGUAUCAUACCAACCCUCAAGCCUACAUUAAAAGCCGAGAAAAGUCCUAUAUUGAUCCUAACUUGACUAUCUGAAUGCUAAUGUAAAAUAAAAAAUAUAUCUUUUAAAGAAUAUUAGAAUAAUAAAAAUAAAAAAAUUUAAAAUAAUAGAAAUAAAAAUAAAUUAAAGCAAAAACAAGAAUAAAAUAAAAAAUUACAUCAUGUAAUUACUAACAAUUCACAUUUCCUUUGAGAAUUUGAGGGUGGGGUAAAGAGGGCGAUUAGCCCUGCCAAUUAGACCUAAUUAAUUGCUACACAAAUAAUUACAUGACCAAUCAAACAGAUCAAAUAAAUUACACUCAAUUAUACUAAAUUUAAUUAUGCUUAUGAGUUUCCAAAAGAUCCUUAAUGAUGAACAAUUAUAUUUAAAGAUAAAAGAUACAAAGUAAAAUUAAAUUAAAAUCUCUGGUAGAGUAAUUUAUAAUUUGUUGAGUAACGUGUAAAAAGAAAAUAUGAGAAAUAAUUUGAGAUAAAGGAAUUAGUAAGUGAUUAGGUUCAUGUUUAGCAAAAAAUAAAAAAAAAUGUGAUUAGGUUCCAAAACCGAUUAAAUUGGUUAAAAUUUCCAAAUUGAAAAUGUCAAAGGACCAAAAAUAGGAAAAGCAUGAGCAAGGAGGACGUUAUGUGUAAUUUUGGCCUCCAUUUCAAGCUCCUACUCUUUGUAGUAGCAAACAACCAGCAAUCAAUAUUGUCCUUUUUAACCAAAAAAGAAAGAAAAAAAAAAAUCAAUAUCGUCCAGAAACAGGUAAUAAUUUGCUCUGUAAUUACUCUUUCUCAUUGCGUUGGCUGAGCACCAUAAUAUUCCAAUGGGAAUUUUGGCAUACAAUUUCAAUGUGGUAUCCCCAAAUUUUGUUGUUCCCAAAAGUUCAAUUUUAUCAGAAUUUCCUCUUCCGCAGGUGCGCAUUAAUCCUUCACGCAGGCGAAGCAUCCCACUUAGAGUUGCUUUCAGCAUGACUGAAAAACCAGGUGACAGUUUUUAGCUUGCAGCUUUGUUGAAAAGAAAAAAAUAGGAUGAUUCGCUGUGAUGGUUUUCGAGUUUAACAAAAUAGGAUCUGACACUUCCUACGGGAAAUGGCACUUGUUUCCAAACAGCUCUUUGAGGUUGUAAUGUUUACACCAAUCUCAAACGUCAAGAAAUUUCUUGAUUCUUCUCCAGUCCAGCGCAUAUGUGUAAGCUGUUCACAUGAUUGACUAAAAACGUCGAAAUAGAAGAGGUUAAUUUCUGUGUUGUUCUCAGUCUGGACGAGGGACUUCAGUUCAGCUCGCACAUUCUUUGGCCAUAUCGACGACGUGUAUAAUCUACAUUUAUUAAGAAUUUCUGGGAAAAGUUUUAUUAGUAAGCACACUUCUAGCUUGCCAUGCUGUGAACUAACUCUUGUUCAGCACCAGAAUCAGUAGUUAAUCACUCUAGACUUCCUCUGCCACAGUGCUCCAGUCGUGUAACUAGUACGCUCACUUACGAUCUUAGUGCCUAACAGUUGGUCUAGCUAGUGCCGAAUUAACUGCAACAACUUUGUUAAAUUUAGUACACUUUGUUUCAGGGAUCUACUCUGUAUUACUCCAUAAGUAAUGCUUGGAAUGAAUAAAAAGAGACUAAACCUGAUUGAGUCACUAAACAUAAUCCAGGGCUUUUUGAUAAGUUUUGGGAAAGCUUUAGUAAGAGGCAAUCCUGAUCCCUCGACAAAUAACAUAUUCUUUGACAUUCUUCUGUCUGCUUACGGAGGCAUGUGUCCUGAUGUUCAGCAGUUGUACAGAAGAAAAUUACAGUACUGAACCAACAGAAUGAGAAACUAGUUGGAGUGUUGCAUGAUACUGGAUCUAUGGAGAUCGUGGUCUUGUGUCAUGGAUUCAGAUCCUCCAAGGUUUGCAUUAUUCCCGUUUUACUAUGGUUCUUGUGCUUCAUUAUCUGUUCUAUUGUUUCCUUAUAUUAAUUGAUUGAAUUCGUCUAGUCCAAUGGCGCUGACAUAAGUUUCAGAAGGUAAGCUGCCUCAGUUGUUUUAGAUUAUGCAGUAUGUAGUGCUGUAGGGUGCCACUAUUGUGACAUAUCCGAUUUUAUCUCCACCAAUGCUCUUGAGCGUCUAUAGUGAGAGUAUGAAAUCAUCCAAACAAAAUAAGUGAAUACAGUGAGAAGAUAUCAGUUAUUAAUUGAAGAAUGAAUUCUUACUCAAAAAGAAAAAAAAUUUACUCAAAAAAUUAAUUGAAGAACGAAUAUAUUUGGUGGAUGAUUUGGGAAUCAAUCUAAAGCAGCUUUAUUUGCUAAUCUGCAUUUUGAUGCAGAAAUGUGAGGGCUAAGAAUGAUGUCAGGUUCUUAUCUUCACUAAGAUUCUCUAAGAUAAGAAUUUUAGUCUGUAUUGUUUUCAGCGUUUGCUGCUUCGGAUCUCUGUUAAGAAAGUUCCUGUUGAUUUUUAAUUGACUGGUGAUUUUCCAUGUUGACUUGACCCUGGAUGGGGUUUAUUUAUAAUUUGAUAUCAAUAUUUACUGGUUCUUUUGAGGAAAACAGAUCUAGUUGAACGGUACCCUUGGAAAGGCGCAUUGGGUUAUACCAUUCAAGCAUCAGAAUUUGGCUAGUGUUCAAACCUCAUGAAGAUUGAACAACAUCUAGUUGUAUAAGUGCAACUAUGAACAGUGCCUAGUAAUAUAAGUACAAAUUUGAGAUUAUUUGUGUCAAUACAAUGCAACUGCUUGCAGAUUCAUCUUCCACUCUGUCAAGGACAAAUUGUUAUGGCUAUAUAUUCAAGUGAUGCUCUAGAUAACUUUAGUGUAGUUACAACUUUGGUUUGGCUUCAAUUAAAACUGAACCCUGAACAAUUACAUCGAGCAAAUUAUCUUAUUUAACUUUUUUGGGACUGAACAAAACUGAAGUCAAAUGUUAUAUAAGAUAUGUAUAGAGCUAUAACAGAUGGACAUGUAUGGAGGGCAAUAGCUUAUGGAAGGAAGUGGUUGCAGCCAAGCGUGGUAAAUACUAGCCAAAGUAGUUCUCCCCACGGGGUAGGGCCAUGGAAACAUAUAUGCAAAUAUCGGGAAGAUUUCCUUCAAGAAAUUUCGUUCAAAGUUGGGAAUGGCCAAAAAGUGAAAUUCUGGAAGACAGGCGGCUUGGAAUUUCAUUUUGGAAAAGCGUUAUCCAACUCUCUUCCAAAUAUCUCGUGAUCCUGAUGUUGGAAAAUUAGGCACACGCAGUGGAAGUAAACAAACAUGAUCUCUUGCAUGUAAUAUAGACAAUCAACAUAAACACAUAAUUCAUGCAAAGGAUGCUUAAAAAUAAUCAGGAAUACCUCUUGAAGCAUGACAGAUAUCUUGAAGCGAAUCCAUCUUCGAAUCAACGGUCUUCUACUGUGAUCCCAAAUUCACAACCGAACUCUCUCAAUACUUGAGUUUGCAAGUACCGAAUAGAAUACUCUAUUCUUUCCUUCUUCAUGUUGUUGUUCCUCAAUUUCUAAGCUAGGGAAAUUUCAGAGAUACUUCCCCAGUCCAAAGAGGAAAGAAAAACACACCUGUUUCUACUUGAACAAGGACAGAUGUGACUUCUCCUUUUUCCAUAAGGAAAUAGAAUUUCGAGUUAUAAGUAUAAUAUGGGCACUGUAGGGACCACAAAAUUAAUUAGUGAGGCUCCCUAUUAUGGAAAUAAUUCAAAAUCCCAAUUUGAAUUAUUCUUACCAUAAUAAAUUACAAAUUAUUCCACUAAAGAUUUGUAAUUGCACUCCUCUAUUUUUAUUUCAUAAUUCCCCAUUAAACACUUAUGUAGUUCCCCAUAUUAAGAUUUCAGAUACUAAUCAAUAAAUUAAAUUAUUGACGAAUUUAAUAUAAUGAUUAAUUUCCUUUAAUACUUAACUUAUUUCAUAUGUUGGAUUCAUAAAUCCACCGGCCGGGUUUACAGAUGAAAACUUAUAAGCUUCUCAUAAAAGGCGUAUCAUCAAUCUCUCUACCAAGACAUGGAUUCCAUCAACUACCUUAUUAUUUUACCAAUAUAUAUUAUUAUCAUCCGAUCUAGUAGGAAUAUUGGACCAUAUAUACAGAUCAUAAUAGUCAUAUCAAGAUUGAGAAUAUAAGUACAUUUAACAGUUUAGAGAAUAUGUUUUUAUCAGUCAGUACAAAACAACUAUCCCUAUUCGGUCCCGUUCAAUACAUACAAAAUGCACUAGCACGAGAAGUUAGAGCAAUACCGUUCUCGUAAUCAAGAUAAAUUACAUAUAAUCUCAUGCUACAAUCAUUCUGAUGGUUUGUCCAAAUUUCCAUCUUCGAUUGUGAACUAUAACUUUAACUUAUAAGAAUCGAUGAUUUAAUCUUCUGUGUAUAAGCUAAACUCUAUACACCAAAUUAUCUACUAUAUAAGUUGAGGACACAUAUAUGGCAUAAUGACAAUGAUCUAUUUAAUGUAACGAUUUAUUGAAUUGAAUAAAUAAAUAAAUAAAUAAUCACUCAAUGAAUAAUACUAUUUCAAAACCGCAUGGUUUGUAGUAUAUCCUAACACCUGACUCUACAGUUGCACAAAACAGAGAGGGCAAUCAAUAGAACUUACUUUUUAGGAGAAACUUCAACGAUUGGGAGCUCGAGAGUCUGUUUGAAUUAAUGGGUAGGGUGGAAGGUUUCAACCUGAAUCCAGAAGCUAGAGAUAUCAUUAAUUGGGGUCCUAACGGAAAGAAAUACUAUGUAAAGGAGAGGUAUAAAUAGUUGAAUGCCCAGAAUGAUAUCAUAGAUUUAUGGCCAUGGAAGCUUAUAUGGAAGGCAAAGUUACCACCAAAGGUAAUUUGCUUCAGCUGGUCGGCAUUUCUGAAUGCUUGUUUGACACUGGACAAUCUUUGUAGAAGAAAUUUCCAGCUGGUUAGUAGAUUUUUUUGUGUCAGGAAAAUACAGAAUCAGUUAAUCAUCUUUUCCUGCAUUGUGGGGUGGCUGCAGACAUGUGGCAUAUGUUCCUUUCCCUUUUCAGUUUGAAAUGGAUGAUGCCUCAACUAUCAGAGAAGCUGUUGUUAGCUGGAGCCACUGGAGAGUUGACAGGGCCAGCAGGAACACCUGGUGAAUGAUACCAGCAUGUAUUUUUUGGUGCCUAUGGACAGAAAGGAAUCUUAGGUGUUUUGAUGGAAUUUCAACUCCUAACCAUUCACUCAAGGCUACAUGUUUGUUCAGUCCCUUUUGUUGGUCCAACUUAAGUUGCCCAGACUCGGGUGCGGAUCUAGAUGUCGGAUCCUUCAUGAUCUGAAUUUUAAGAUUAGGGGAUAUGGAUCGAUAUAUGGAUACGGGUACGGGGAUUCAACUAAAAUAAUUAAAAUGUCUAAAAAUAGAGUUAUAAAACCUAAAUUUUGAGAUAUCAUAUGGAAAACUUUAGGAGAAAAUAUUGAUCAAGAGGAGAAUCUUGGAAGGAGAUAAAAGGAAAAGAGUGACAUAGAAAUUUUAUAUACAAGGUAUUCCAUUUUCUUCAUAGUACCCAAAAUCAGUCACUCCUUUUCACUGAAUCUAUUCGGAUUUUCUCUGUCAAUUUAGGUCAAAGUACCCAAAAUUGGUUGACCAAAUCGUGUACGAUCCCAAACCCACAUCCACACCCAUGUCGUGUCUACACGUGUGCAACACCGAAAGUGAAGAGUCUGUGUAACAUAGGGUCCAACCAGUCACAUGUGAAUAGUUCUACUGCUUUCUUAGAUUUCGUUAGCUCUUUAACUCUAGACUACCCAUAGUCAUGCUAGGUCUUCUCUAAAUUUUUUGAUUUUGUGGCUGGCUCCCAGGUCUUAACUUUUAUCAUGUAAUGGAGCUAGCAUAUCUACUUUUGUUUUCUUUACAUCUUUCUUGAUGCCGGUAAUGAAACAACUUACUUCCUAAAAAAACAAGAAAAAGUAAGUAUCCUUAAGUUCACUAUUGAAGCAAUUACUGGCUCACCGACUUUCUUGCAUAAUUUGACAAGAUAAAUCCUUGGUUAAGUUCCUCAGCAGAUGAUUUUUUUUUCCAUGCUUCUAAGUUUUUAUUGGGAGAGUUGUUGAUGGAGCAUCUAAGUUUUUAUUGUGUUUCUAUUGAUAGGACUUCGACACUAUGGUGAAUCUUGCUGUUGCUCUGGAGAAAGAAGGAAUCAGUGCAUUUCGCUUUGAUUUUCCUGGAAAUGGGUGAGCUUUUCGUAUUAAAAGGAUCAUCUAUAUUCUAUACUAUUCGGGCAAUGUCUAGAUAAAGAGAAAGCUUUUUCAUUUAUUUUUUAAUGCUCUUUAGGCAGACUACUAUUAUGGUGUGAACAGUAUCUUCUUAUUCAUUUUCUUUUUAUGAGCAAAAUGUGCAAUUAUAUCUAGUUAUACGAACUACUAUUCAGUCUGACUUUAAUCUAUGGUUUAUUUCUCCGUUAUCAUUGGUUCAUAGUAUUUACUGCAACUCCCUGAAAUUAUAGAGGCUUUUAACUUCCAAAUAAAUAAUAGUUGUGUGCCGACCUUUUCCAUAAGGGAAUAAAUCAUUAUUCCAACAAUGCGAGCAACGUUGGUCAUAACUCUGAAGUGUCUGUUCCAAUACAACAACAACAACAUACCCAGUGAAAUCCCCCGAGUGAGGUCUGGGUAGGGUAAAGUGUACCCAGACCUUACCACCACCUUGGAGAAGUACAGAGGCUGUUUCCGAUAGACUGUGUCUGCAUUCCAAUACUUUUCUUUAUUGAUUUCUUGUAGAGGUAGUAAAGUACAGCGCAAUACAGACCUAACUAGAGGUCAAUGCAAUGGAUCAAAGAGCAAGAUUUUACAUCAUUUCUAUUCCAUAAUUCUCUUUGGCUUACAUUCACUCUCAUCAUUUUAGCUUUCUGGCAUUUGUUGUCCCAAAUUCUACAUGCAGUGACUAACAUUAGUUCUUUCACAAUCUGUGUUGUACAUUAUCAACUGCUUUCCAGUGAAAGCGAAGGUUCAUUUCAGUAUGGUAACUACCGUAGAGAAGCGGAUGACUUGCAUUCUGUGGUUGAAUAUUUCAAUGGAGCAAACCGCAAAGUAACAGCAGUCCUUGGACAUAGUAAAGGUGCGUCAACUUUUGCCAAGAGUUGUAUAGUAUAUCAAGAGUAAUUUUGCGCAGUAUGGCGAAGAAAGAGAUUUUGCAUGUGAAAUUAUUCUACUUUAGGCUAUUUUUAUUUUUGGUGAUAUCUGGAUGUGAGAAUAUUACCUUUUGAUAUCAGGCAUGCAUCUGGCUUCUCCCGCAUAAUCAUAUUGUGUGGCUCUUCCUUCAUGCAGGGCAGAGGCAUAGUGGUGGUUAUGGGUUCAGCAGAAUCCACUUAGGCUCAAACGUUAUGUGUGUCAAAAAAUCAUUUAGUAUGUACAAAUAAUCUAUCCAGAAUCCAAUAAGCAAAAGAAACUAUGGUCUAUAACCCAUAAACAAAAAAUCCUGGCUCCGCCUCUACCAUGAUGGAAACGUUAGAAUAAUUUGAAUCAACUUGAAAAAAUAAUUCAAUAUAUUCUUAAAUUAUUCAAUUAUUAUUUAAUUGAAUAAUUGAACGAUUGAAUCCUAUUAAGGUGUAGCUGCAAAAUCGAAGCUCAAGAAGAAGAGAAAAGAGAAGAAGCAUCUCAAGGUGCUAGAAUGUGUCAAACUCCCUCAUUCCUUUUAGAUUAUAUCAGCUAGUUGUCACUAUAAAAGAAUGAUAUAAGCUAGCUGUUGUUGUGUACCCCCUAUUAAUUUUGAAAUUAGUUGUCCCAAGUUUAGCAUGAAAUGUUUUGAUAAUGGUGGUGUUUGGACCAACUUGCACAUCCGUCAAAGAUUCUACUGGGUAUCUGCUAACAGACGGAAAAUUAGGUUAUAUAUUCAUUGCUAGGACUAUACACAGGAGAAAUUUCAGCUAUGAGAACUCCUUGUGGUUGAGUUCAUUGCUCCUUACUCACGUGCCAAAAGGAAAAAAUGACAAGCAAGAAGGAUAUAUAUACUUCGGUUUGACUAAAUUUUUUUGACUUAAAUAAAAGAUAAUUCAAAGAGUUUGUCAACUCAAUGCAAAUAAUGGAAAUUAUCCCUGAAUAUUAAUUACUUUGGAUCAAUAAUGUUGUACUUUUUGUUUGUACUCUCGUCUUCCUGUGUAAAUGACAUUACACUGAGCAUUAACAUUUGUCAUGUUCUUGUAUGUUGACUAAUUAUCAGAAAUAAACUGUUGCAGGAGGUGAUGUUGUGCUUCUAUAUGCUUCUAAGUACCAUAAUGUUCACACAAUCAUCAAUUUGUCUGGCCGUUAUAAUCUAGAGAAAGGCAUUGCAGAGCGAUUGGGCAAGGACUUUCUAAAAAUAAUCAAGAAGGAUGGCUUCAUUGAUGUUAAAAAUAGAGCAGGUGACGACAGUAAAUAUUUAUCCUGCUUACGCGUAUAAGCAUUUUUCCUUUUGCCAGUAGAAUGAAAUUCUUUGUUUUCGUAAUUUAUAUAGUUGGUGUUGGUUUAAAAAAAAAUUAUAUAGUUAGUGUUAUUUUUUUUACCCCUCCUUAGGAGCUCCCACCUUUUUGCUUCAUUGAUGACUUGAACUCAUAACCUUAAGGUUGGAGGUGGAGAGUGCUUGAGAAUAUGUGAAAUCUGGUUUAAGACUAAUCUCAAUAGGGGAAUGCCACAACUGCCCCUGAUUUUCUUGAUUUCUCUAUGAUGCCUAUGUUUUAACAAGUUUGACUUCUCAAGAGAGAUAAGAGUCAAAAUGCACAAUAUCUACUGUUUUUAUCCCCCUUUUUUUGUUUUAUUUACUUUUCAGGCUUAUUUUUUAUCAUUAUAAUUAUAAUUUUUUAGAACUAAUAGCUGAGGAAAGUAAGAAUGUAGAUAUAUACCCCCAGCCAUGAGACUUUGUAGGUGUUUGGCCAUGGAAAUAUUUUUAUUUUUUUCGGAAAAUUAUUUCACUUUAGUGAAAAGGUGAAAAUAGUGGUGUUUGGCCAUAAAAAUUAUUUCACUUUAGUGAAAAUUAUUUUUGGAAAAGUGAAAACAAGUUUUACUUGUUUUCACUUUUCUCACUCCUACUUCUCUCACAAAAUUUGAAAAACAAUACCACUUUAUAUUAUUGACCAAACACAACAUCAACUCAACUCCAACUCUGGAAAAUUAUUAUUUUCAUGGUCAAGCGGGGCCUUUGUAUCUAGUAUUACUCUGGUCUCUUAUUGGUUCUUGAGACCCAGAUGCCUAUGAACUUUAUUAUUAGCUUAUACAGGGUAAGGCUCCAAUGACAAGUAAGUACCUCUUGCUUAGUACUCCCUCCGUUGAAAAAAGAAUGACCUACUUUGACUUAGCACAAAGUUUAAGAAAAUAAAGAAGACUUUUGAAUCUUGUAGUCUUAAAUUAAAGUUGAGUCUAAUGUACCAAAAUGCUCUUUAAUCUUGUGGUCCUAAACAUGUCUUGUGAAAAGUUGAAAUUAAAGUAUUACCAAAAAGAGAAAGAGGUCAUUCUUUUUGAAACAGACUAAAAAAAAAAGUAGAUCAUUCUUUUUGAAACGGAAAAAGUAUGUUAUAUGAGAGAAAAUGAUCAAAAUAGUCCUUGAUGUAUGGACGUGGAUCGAUUUGGUCCCUGAUAUGUUAAAUGUAUGGACUUUGAUUGAUUUGGGCCCUGAUAUAUAACAACUUAUCACUUUAGUUGUUGGCCUUACAAACCUAACAACACCCAAAAAAAUCUGUCAAAUAUAAAUGGUGGCUUCAUUCCCCAAUAAGAACAAAAGACUCUGUCUUCUUUCAUCGGUCCCAAAGGUCCAGUUUUCUUUCCAACUAAAAUUCCUAACUUGAAAGAACACUGGAGAAAGUUUCAAUGAAGGGGUAAGAGUUGACUUGAACUCCAAUUUCAGAGUCUAACACUGGAGAAAGUUUCAAUGAAGGGGUAAGAGUUGACGUGAACUCCAAUUUCAAAGUCUUACCCGAAUUAAGGUGUCUAUUUGAAUGCAACUGCUGACAUUUUUCGAUAUGAAAUGUGGAAAAGCCCUGUUUCUCUGUGGACAGUAGCUGCUUUGGGUGGCACUAAUAUUUGCCUUGGAGAAAUCAACGGAAAAGAAAUUUUGGAGCCGAUUUACCUUCACAGUGUGACAUUUUUGUGGUGCAUCAAUAAUCCUUACAAAUUCUCAGAUGCAAUUGGCACAAAUCAGCCCUUGUUACCCCGCAGAUGCAUAUGGUUUGAGUGAAGUACUUGGUCCAAUGAUAUCAAUUCCUUGGAAAUCUUAAGAUUAUUUAUCCAAUUCAAAUGAAGACGUGAAACUUCUCAAUUUACCCCUUAAUUGAAACUUUCUCCAUUGUUCUUUCAAGAUAGGGAUUUUGUUUGGAAAAAAAACUUGACCUUUGGGACUAAUUGAAGAAGCAGUGUCUUUAGUUAUUAUUGGAGAAUGAAGCCACCUUUAUAUUUGACAGAUUCUAUUGUGCGUUGUUAGGUUUGUAGUGCCAAGGACUCAUGUGAUAAGCAUUUAGCAUAGAUAAAGAACCAUUUCCAUAAGUUGUUAUAUAUGAGGGACCAAAUCAAUCUAAGUCCAUACAUUAAGGACUAUUUUGAUCAUUUUCUCGUUAUAUGAUUAUUUAGGCUUCCAUAGCCAUUUUCUUCCCUAUCUAUGGAGUAGAUUUUAGACAAUGACAAUGCAUAGGGUUUUCAUUUUUCCUGGAGAGCUGAAAAUAUGAUUCAACUGUUUGUAGGAGAGAUUGAUUACCGUGUUACCAAUGAAAGUUUAAUGGAUCGACUUGAUACAAACAUGCAUGAUGCAUGCCUUCAAAUUGACAAAGGAUGCAGGUUGGACUGAUCUUACUUUCAUUGUGUCAAUACCUUCUCUCUUGGUUUUCAUUGCCAUCUCUCCAGGUGAAACAGACUCACUGCAAUAAACAAUGUAAAAGGAAAAUAAAGCCACUGAAGAAUUUGUAGCUUGUGCAGUUUCAUUAGCACUCAUGCAAAUGGUUUCUCUUACAGUAAAAAGUUCUAUUUAAUGCAACUUCAGCCGGAAAAUACUCAGAAAACUUUGUUCUCAACAGCAAGAUAACCUCUUCAAAGAGAAGAUUCUAAUAGAAUAGCUGUCUUGCUUUCAACGGAGUUGUUUCACUCAUGAAUAAUUAAUCCAUCUUAACAGUAUCCUAGUUGCUCAUCUGCAUCUAUUGUUCUUGUUCUCAACUAAACAAAACAUUGAGAGGCAUGAUUUUUUGGGGGAAGAUGGAGAUGUGGAUGGAAUUAGGAAACACAGA